rnacentral:rRNA from 1 species
CCCUUAGAUGUUCUGGGCCGCACGCGCGCUACAAUGAUGCAUUCAACGAGUUUAUAACCUUGGUUGAAAAGCCUGGGUAAUCUUUUGAACUUUCGUCGUGAUGGGGCUAGACCCUUGCAAUUAUUGGUCUCCAACGAGGAAUUCCUAGUAAACGCAAGUCAUCAGCUUGCAUUGAUUACGUCCCUGCCCUUUGUACACACCGCCCGUCGCACCUACCGAUUGAAUGGUCCGGUGAAAUCUUCGGAUUGAGACUUUGUUUUCUUCACGGAAAACGCUGUUUUAAAAAGUUGAUUAAACCUUACCAUUUAGAGGAAGGUGAAGUCGUAACA